UUGCUAUGAUGACAUCUUAGGACACCUUUGGAGUUCACCAUGAAAAAUAAUCUAUUCUGAGCAAC